UUUUAUUUUCGUUACAUUUUAGAACUCUAGCCUGGAAGCAAGCAAAAUAGUUACUGGCAUUGGCAUUCGAAAUAGAGAUGAACUAUCAGACCAACUCAUUCACCUCUAGUUACUCGCAAUUUUUCUUUCUCUCGAAAAGGAAAAAAUUCUCUCAUUUGCUUUCUCGGAUCUGCCUUUUUAAGAAGAACAAAUGUAUUCUUUCAUGCAUUCUAUUUCUCUUUGCAUCUCUUUCUUCUGGUUUUGGCUUAUACUCUUUCUCUUCUUCAGUGUUUUAACUAGCUAAAACUUGGCAGUCCAUUGUUUUAACAGAACGAAUCUUUACACAUGCAAUAUUAUAAGCACGAACAAACAACUGCUUAAUUAUUUGAAUAUUUUGCAGGACGGCAACGAGCUACUUGUUAGCUUUGCUAGCAAUGUUGACAACUAUAAUGGCCCAAAAGGAACUGAUGGUCAACAUCACCAUACUUCACAGCGCCACUGCUGAAGGCGCAUGUAUAAUAUUUACUGCAAAGUACAUUAUGCAACAGAGAAACGAGAGUCACGCGCAGACUAGUAUACUAAUUAGUAAAAUAGUUGAGUACACAAUCAUUAAGCAACAGAGAAAGAGAAUGACAUGCGGACUUGUAUACUAAGUAUUUAAUUUUUUUUUGAGUCACUAACAGUGUGCCUCGACGGGAGCCCCCCGGCAUAUCAUCUUGAUCGGGGAUAUGGCACAGGACUUCGCAGCUGGAUCAUCGUCAUUGAUGGCGGUGGUUGGUGCUCUAGUAUCUCGGAUUGACAUAAUCGUUCAAAUAGCGUCUUAGGUUCUUCCACAAAGAUGCUGCCACCACUAGUCUGAUUUUCGGGGAUUCUUCAUAACGAUCUUAGAAUUAAUCCAGACUUUUACAAUUAGAAUAGAGUUAGGGUCAGAUAUUGUGAUGGGUCUUCAUUCGUUGACAGGUGAUAGUUGAAGAUGUUGAUCCUGAUACCAAACUUUAUUAUAGAGGAGCAAGAAUCUUCAGAGCCAUUAUGAAUAAUUUAUCCAGAAAGGGAAGGCAAACGGCUGAAAAUGUAAGAUUCAACUGAUAUCACUACAACAUUUUAGGCCUUUAACCACACUUUCUGGCCUAAGACAACGCUUUUUCAGGAGUGGCCUAAACUAACGUAACUUUUGCCCUAAAGAGUAACAAAAACCACACUUGUUGUACCCUCAACAGCAACACUUUUCGUGUACUAGGGCAACACAUUAGUAGUGUGGUCUUUGUUACUCUUUAAGCCACACUUUUCAAACGUAGCGCCUAAUACAACACUUGUGAAGCGUGGCUUUUGCUGCGAUAUAGGCAUUUGCCAAUCUCUAAGGCCACACUUUUGAAGCGUGGCAAUUUUGUCUAAGCAAUAAAGUAAU